rnacentral:ncRNA from 1 species
GAAAAAGCUUUGAAAAGAAAAAGUAACAGCCAGCACACCCUUACAGAAAGCAGCCGGAAGAUGAGAGGCGCAUGAAAGAGCAGGCUGUGAAUACAUCUUGGAGCUUCACACCGAAACCUUCACCUAAAGAAGGCAGGUAGGCUGUGACGCGGGGCAUGCGUUAUCGUGCACAAGCUGUAACUGCAGCUUACAGAGACCGGCAGCGUGAGCUGCAGGUGAAUGAAGGUGGUAUCACGGGAGCAUAACCUCGUCCUUUUU